GACGAACGCUGGCGGCGUGCUUAACACAUGCAAGUCGAACGAUGAAGCGGUGCUUGCACCGUGGAUUAGUGGCGAACGGGUGAGUAAUACGUGAGUGACCUACCUUUGACUCUGGGAUAAGCCUGGGAAACUGGGUCGAAUACCGGAUACGACCAAUCUCUGCAUGGGGUGUUGGUGGAAAGCGUUAUGGAGUGGUUUUAGAUGGGCUCACGGCCUAUCAGCUUGUUGGUGAGGUAAUGGCUUACCAAGGCGACGACGGGUAGCCGGCCUGAGAGGGUGGCCGGCCACACUGGGACUGAGACACGGCCCAGACUCCUACGGGAGGCAGCAGUGGGGAAUAUUGCACAAUGGGCGCAAGCCUGAUGCAGCGACGCCGCGUGAGGGAUGACGGCCUUCGGGUUGUAAACCUCUGUUAGCAUCGAAGAAGCGAAAGUGACGGUAGGUGCAGAGAAAGCGCCGGCUAACUACGUG
rnacentral:rRNA from 1 species